AACGUAGGACACAAGCGUUAUCCGGAGUUACUGGGCGUAAAGGGCGUGUAGGCGGAUCAAUAAGUCUAUUCUGAAAGCUCCUGGCUAAACUGGGAGAGGCGAAUGGAGACUGUUGGUCUAGAGUGAGGAAGAGGAAAGUGGAAUUCCGCGUGUAGUGGUGAAAUGCGUAGAGAUGCGGAGGAACACCAGUGGCGAAAGCGGCUUUCUGGUCAUUAACUGACGCUGAGGCGCGAAAGCAUGGGGAGCGAACGGG
rnacentral:rRNA from 1 species